UAGCAUCAGGAUCCGCAGCGGAUCCGCUUUCGGUCCGCCAAAUCCGCCCCACAGUCCGUCCGCUUUGCGGAUCCGCUGCGUAUUUGUUCCGUAUUCGCAUUCUGACUGUUGCUAACCCUAACCCUUGGAUGGCCUGCUGUUACAGAGAGAAUCUGCGGUUAAAUCAUCUUAGAUCCGCACUGUGAACGUACUUUUAACACAACACUUUGUUUUUGACACAAUGAUUUGUACUAUCAAUGCGCGGAUCCGCGGCUAACCCGGUUCGGAUUCGCUGCGCGGACGCGCCACUGACUCAGCCGUUAUCAGAACAUGAGAGAAAGAAACAACAUCCACCUGUUGUCCGUGGAUUUCACUAUGACAUCAGGAGCCCCUGUCCUUCUGCUGAGUGUCCCUAUCAGGAGCCCGGCACGCUGAUCAGAAAAUAUACUAUGGUUAAUAAGAAGAUGGACAUAACAGCAUGACAAAGACCCUCUGGAGAAUUCCCUCUGCUGGGCCAAGUUCCAAAAAUGUAGAGACAGACCCUCUAACAUGCUGUGGUGGAGUUUAAAGACUGACCCUCUAUGCUGUGAGAAAGGGGAAGUCCAGAGCUGGACACUGACAGACUGGAUCUUCACCAGUAGGACUGAAGAGGAGCCAGCCUCACUACACCUCUGCCUCAAAACCUCUGCCUCAGACUGAAGCUAAAGACAGAGGCUCUGAAGCUCCCACACUGCACACUCUAUAAGAACAACCACCCGUGUACUGUGGUGGUAAA